ensembl:lncRNA
CUGAAUACUCUCAGAAGGCGCUGUAGAUUAGUAGAAGGUGCAUUUCUUAGGUCUAGGUGUCUGAAUACUCUCCGAAGGCGCUGUAGAUUAGUAGAAGGUGCAUUUCUUAAUUCUAACCUUGAAACCUCUUGAAUUGUAUCAUUGAGUUAAUUUGAGUACUAGUCUUCCAAGUUAAAGGACAAACGUAAUGACGUUGUUCGGGAUAACAGUGAUAAGAUGUUGACAUGAAAAACAUUGACCACCAUGUGAAUGUUGACAUCAGUAUUAUUCCACCAUGUCAGAGGACUAAAAUAAUGUUCAUUAAUGCAACAUAUUAUCUGAAAAUGAAAUGAAUUUUUGUGACAGUGUUAGCCAUUAUUUGUUUUAACUGUGUUCGUGGAUGUUCAUUAUAUACAUCUAUGUACUG